rnacentral:sRNA from 1 species
UUUUCUUUCUUUCUUUUUCUUA